rnacentral:lncRNA from 1 species
AAUCCAGCCAGUUGGCAGAUUCCAGGUGUACGUUACUAUAUAUAUGUCAAGAUCAUGGGAGAUCUCCAAGCUGUGGAUGAAGUGGAUAUACAUAAAACAAGGCAGAAGUGAGUCCAGCUGGUGGAGAAAGAGUGGAGUGAAACAAGGCAAGGAGAGGAACAAUUUCCACUAAAAAUAAAAUUAUUCAAAACCAGUCUUCAAACCCUUCAGGAAAUUCUGGUGAGAAAAGAAGAUAAACAGGAGACUAGAGAGAUGGAUAUCCAGACACAAUAGGGAGUAGGUUGGACUGUAGCUUGAUGUUUCUGCUGAUGUAUUAGGGUAAGAAGCAUUUGAAUUCAAAGAUAAGUACAACUGAAAAACGGGAAGUGGAGACUUUUUAUCAAGUCUUGAACUAAAGGGGUAGGGGUUUUAACCAGCUAUAAGCUGACUCUCAGUUGUAUAGGUAGGUGUAAGAAAGUGAGGGUGGCUAUUCUGAGCAAGGGGAAUCAAGACAGGGACCAUGAGGGAAUGUCAGUUAUUGCAAAUACAGUGACAUUUCCAAGUAUUAGUGUCUUUGAGUGUUCAGAUAUCCUAAAAACAUAGAUUUACAUGAUUUUAACCCAUUAGAGAAAGCUGUAUUUUAAAACACAUAUUUAUUAUUAACUAAGUCUGAAAGACUAAACAAAAACAUCAAAAAGCAAUCAGAAAAGAAGUACUGACAUAUCACUAGUUAAAUGAAAUGUCACAAGUCAGAAAAGAGGGUGAUAAAACAAAAAAGGUUAGAAAAUAUUACUAUUUAUAUAUACAAAGGAAAUUUUGUUUGCUCUACAAAUAAGGGUAGACAUAAUUGGAUUAACUGCUUUUUUGAUAGGAAUGAUUCAUUGGAAACAUAGAUCAUAAAAAUUAUAACAGAAUUUAGAUAAGUUAAGAGGUUGAACAUAAAAAUAAAAAUCACUCAUUUUGUAUGUAUCUCUUGAGUACCUACUAUGUUCCAGUCACUAUUCUAAUCAUUGGGGUAUGUAAAGAAGAACAUAGACAU